rnacentral:rRNA from 1 species
CUUGGUCAUUUAGAGGAAGUAAAAGUCGUAACAAGGUCUCCGUUGGUGAACCAGCGGAGGGAUCAUUAAAGAGUUAUUUAACUCCCAAAACCACUGUGAACUUACCUAUGUUGCCUUGGCGGGGAAACCUACCCGGGAUUUGACGGGGCGAACUACCUGGUAGUUUACCCCACUUACCCGGUAGCAGCCUACCCUGUAGACCGCGCCUGGGUCUACCCGCCGGAGGACAUUUUUAAACUCUUGUUUUAUAGUGAAAUUCUGAGUUUUUAUACUUAAUAAGUUAAAACUUUCAACAACGGAUCUCUUGGCUCUGGCAUCGAUGAAGAACGCAGCGAAAUGCGAUAAGUAAUGUGAAUUGCAGAAUUCAGUGAAUCAUCGAAUCUUUGAACGCACAUUGCGCCCAUUAGUAUUCUAGUGGGCAUGCCUGUUCGAGCGUCAUUUUCAACCCUCAAGCCCCUUAUUGCUUGGUGUUGGGAGUUUAGCUGGCUUUAUAGCGGUUAACUCCCUAAAUAUACUGGCGGAGUCGCGGUGACCCCAAGCGUAGUAAUUAUUUUCUCGCUUGAGGUGUUAACGUCGACAUUCAGCCGUAAAACCCCCAAUUUCUAAUGGUUGACCUCGGAUCAGGUAGGAAUACCCGCUGAACUUAAGCAUAUCAAUAA